rnacentral:rRNA from 1 species
GGACUACAAGGGUUUCUAAUCCUGUUUGCUCCCCGCACUCUCGUGCCUCAGCGUCAGAAAUAAACUAGAGAACCGCUUACGCCACAGGUGUUCUUCCAUAUAUCUACGCAUUUCACCGCUACACAUGGAAUUCCGUUCUCUCCGUCUACCCUCUAGAUAGGGAGUUUCAAAUGCAGCUCCGAUAUUGAGUACCGGAAUUUCACAUCUGACUAUCCUAUCCGCCUACGCACCCUUUACGCCCAGUAAAUCCGAUUAAUGCUUGUACCCUCCGUAUUACCGCGGCUGCUGGCAC